rnacentral:rRNA from 1 species
ACUAAGCGGAGGAAAAGAAACUAACCAGGAUUCCCCCAGUAACGGCGAGUGAAGCGGGAAGAGCUCACGUUGUAAAUCUGACUUCGGUCCGAAUUGUAGUCUGGAGAGGCGUGACCAGCUGGAGACGGGGGCGAAGUCUCUUGGAAAAGAGCAUCAAGGAGGGUGACAAUCCCGUUCUUGCCUUCGCUCUCCACGCGUACGGUCCGUUUUCAACGAGUCGAGUUGCUUGGGAUUGCAGCUCAAAGCGGGUGGUAAAUUCCAUCUAAAGCUAAACACGGGUGGGAGACCGAUAGCGAACAAGUACCGUGAGGGAAAGAUGCAAAGAACUUUGAAAAGAGAGUUAAAGAGUGCCUGAAAUUGCUGAAAGGGAAGCGAAGGAAACCAGUGUCUGGCGGUUCCGCUUCUCCUUGGCCCCUCGGGGCCUUGGUUUGCGUUUCCGCCGUGGCCAGGGCCGGGUGUCGUUGCGGGAUGCUGCGUCUCGGAAGGUAGCGUUUCGAUUCGUCGAGCGUGAAUACCGUGUCGUUUCGUCGCGAUGGCGGCCGGUUCUGACGAAAUGGUUU